AGAACUAAGAAAUCAGAUGAGUCGAAUGAUGAGGUAACGCUCUGAAAGGCUCGACCUAAUCCUCCGAAUAGCGUCAACUUGUGCAAUAAAGUUGAGGUUAUGAGCUCGGUGAAGACAGUUGAACAUCACCCUAAUCGCAAGAAGGAAAAUGGGGGUAGAGGUACUCUGUGUGAUGGAUAGACUGGGGUUCUAUAA
rnacentral:ncRNA from 1 species